UCGCCCUUAGAGUUUGAUCCUGGCUCAGAUUGAACGCUGGCGGCAUGCCUUACACAUGCAAGUCGAACGGCAGCACGGGGGCAACCCUGGUGGCGAGUGGCGAACGGGUGAGUAACAUAUCGGAACGUGCCCUGGAGUGGGGGAUAACUAGUCGAAAGAUUAGCUAAUACCGCAUACGAUCUACGGAUGAAAGUGGGGGAUCGCAAGACCUCAUGCUCGUGAAGCGGCCGAUAUCUGAUUAGCUAGUUGGUGGGGUAAAGGCCUACCAAGGCAUCGAUCAGUAGCUGGUCUGAGAGGACGACCAGCCACACUGGGACUGAGACACGGCCCAGACUCCUACGGGAGGCAGCAGUGGGGAAUUUUGGACAAUGGGCGCAAGCCUGAUCCAGCAAUGCCGCGUGAGUGAAGAAGGCCUUCGGGUUGUAAAGCUCUUUUGUCAGGGAAGAAACGGUGGAGGUUAAUACCUUCUGCUAAUGACGGUACCUGAAGAAUAAGCACCGGCUAACUACGUGCCAGCAGCCGCGGUAAUACGUAGGGUGCAAGCGUUAAUCGGAAUUACUGGGCGUAAAGCGUGCGCAGGCGGUUGUGCAAGACAGAUG
rnacentral:rRNA from 1 species